rnacentral:rRNA from 1 species
AACGAACGCUGGCGGCAGGCCUAACACAUGCAAGUCGAGCGAAGCCUUCGGGCUUAGCGGCGGACGGGUGAGUAACGCGUGGGAACGUGCCCUUUGCUACGGAAUAGCCCCAGGAAACUGGGAGUAAUACCGUAUGUGCCCUUCGGGGGAAAGAUUUAUCGGCAAAGGAUCGGCCCGCGUUGGAUUAGGUAGUUGGUGGGGUAAUGGCCUACCAAGCCGACGAUCCAUAGCUGGUUUGAGAGGAUGAUCAGCCACACUGGGACUGAGACACGGCCCAGACUCCUACGGGAGGCAGCAGUGGGGAAUCUUAGACAAUGGGGGAAACCCUGAUCUAGCCAUGCCGCGUGAUCGAUGAAGGCCUUAGGGUUGUAAAGAUCUUUCAGUGGGGAAGAUAAUGACUGUACCCACAGAAGAAGCCCCGGCUAACUCCGUGCCAGCAGCCGCUGUAA